rnacentral:rRNA from 1 species
AACGAACGCUGGCGGCAGGCUUAACACAUGCAAGUCGAACGCCCCGCAAGGGGAGUGGCAGACGGGUGAGUAACGCGUGGGAACAUACCCUUUCCUGCGGAAUAGCUCCGGGAAACUGGAAUUAAUACCGCAUACGCCCUACGGGGGAAAGAUUUAUUGGGGAAGGAUUGGCCCGCGUUGGAUUAGCUAGUUGGUGGGGUAAAGGCCUACCAAGGCGACGAUCCAUAGCUGGUCUGAGAGGAUGAUCAGCCACAUUGGGACUGAGACACGGCCCAAACUCCUACGGGAGGCAGCAGUGGGGAAUAUUGGACAAUGGCGCAAGCCUGAUCCAGCCAUGCCGCGUGAGUGAUGAAGGCCUUAGGGUUGUAAAGCUCUUUCACCGAUGAAGAUAAUGACGGUAGUCGGAGAAGAAGCCCCGGCUAACUUCGUGCCAGCCGCCGCCGUAAGAC